UGGGUGCGAGAGCGUCAGUU
rfam:Simian immunodeficiency virus isolate SIVcpzMB66, complete genome.